UCCCUGGAGGACUAGCGGUCGGGCCUCGGUACUCUCACCCCCGAGGCCCGGGUUCGAUUCCCAGCCAGGGAA